GCAAAGGAGAAACUAUUAGCCAAGGUUGAUUUGACUGAUCUGGCUGGCUAGGUGGGUGUCCCCUUCCUCCCUCACCGCUCCAGGUCCCUCCCGAAGCUGCAUGCUCGGUCGAAGAGGACGGCCUUCCCUGAAUAGAGACGGACCGGUCUUUGGUUGAGGGUAUACGAGUAGCUGCGCUCCCCUGCUAGAACCUCCAAACAAGCGCUCAAUCUUUUCUUGUGCUUCUUUGCUUAGAUUCACUCAAAGAAAUAGAGCUAUAAGGGUUGUGGGUCUGUAGGGCCCUCCAGAUCUGU
rnacentral:snRNA from 1 species